UACAGGGGGUGCAAACGUUGCUCGGAAUCAUUGGGCGUAAAGCGCACGUAGGCGCCUGUUAUGUCGGAUGUGAAAGCCCUCGGCUCAACUGAGGAAGUGCAUCCGAAACUGGCAGGCUAGAGUACUAAGAGGGUCGCGGAAUUCCCGGUGUAGAGGUGAAAUUCGUAGAUAUCGGGAGGAACACCGGUGGCGAAGGCGGCGACCUGGGUAGAUACUGACGCUCAGGCACGAAAGCGUGGGGAGCAAAAGGG
rnacentral:rRNA from 1 species